CCUACGGGGGGCAGCAGUGAGGAAUAUUGGUCAAUGGACGAGAGUCUGAACCAGCCAAGUAGCGUGAAGGAUGACUGCCCUAUGGGUUGUAAACUUCUUUUAUAUGGGAAUAAAAUGUUCCACGUGUGGGAUUUUGUAUGUACCAUAUGAAUAAGGAUCGGCUAACUCCGUGCCAGCAGCCGCGGUAAUACGGAGGAUCCGAGCGUUAUCCGGAUUUAUUGGGUUUAAAGGGAGCGUAGGUGGAUUGUUAAGUCAGUUGUGAAAGUUUGCGGCUCAACCGUAAAAUUGCAGUUGAAACUGGCAGUCUUGAGUACAGUAGAGGUGGGCGGAAUUCGUGGUGUAGCGGUGAAAUGCUUAGAUAUCACGAAGAACUCCGAUUGCGAAGACAGUUCACUGGACUGCAACUGACACUGAGGCUCGAAAGUGUGGGUAUCAAACAGGAUUAGAUACCCCUGUAGUC
rnacentral:rRNA from 1 species